rnacentral:rRNA from 1 species
UACUACGGCCACGCCACCCUGAAAGCGCCCAAUCUUGUCUGAUCUCGGAAGCUAAGCAGGGUCGGGCCUGGUUAGUAUUUGGACAAGAGACCACUUAGGAAUACUGGGUGCUGUAGGUG